UUUGAUCCUGGCUCAGAUUGAACGCUGGCGGCAGGCUUAACACAUGCAAGUCGAGCGGUAGCACAGGGGAGCUUGCUCCCUGGGUGACGAGCGGCGGACGGGUGAGUAAUGUCUGGGAAACUGCCUGAUGGAGGGGGAUAACUACUGGAAACGGUAGCUAAUACCGCAUAACGUCGCAAGACCAAAGAGGGGGACCUUCGGGCCUCUUGCCAUCAGAUGUGCCCAGAUGGGAUUAGCUAGUAGGUGGGGUAAUGGCUCACCUAGGCGACGAUCCCUAGCUGGUCUGAGAGGAUGACCAGCCACACUGGAACUGAGACACGGUCCAGACUCCUACGGGAGGCAGCAGUGGGGAAUAUUGCACAAUGGGCGCAAGCCUGAUGCAGCCAUGCCGCGUGUGUGAAGAAGGCCUUCGGGUUGUAAAGCACUUUCAGCGAGGAGGAAGGUGGUGAGCUUAAUACGUUCAUCAAUUGACGUUACUCGCAGAAGAAGCACCGGCUAACUCCGUGCCAGCAGCCGCGGUAAUACGGAGGGUGCAAGCGUUAAUCGGAAUUACUGGGCGUAAAGCGCACGCAGGCGGUUUGUUAAGUCAGAUGUGAAAUCCCCGGGCUCAACCUGGGAACUGCAUUUGCAACUGGCAAGCUAGAGUCUCGUAGAGGGGGGUAGAAUUCCAGGUGUAGCGGUGAAAUGCGUAGAGAUCUGGAGGAAUACCGGUGGCGAAGGCGGCCCCCUGGACGAAGACUGACGCUCAGGUGCGAAAGCGUGGGGAGCAAACAGGAUUAGAUACCCUGGUAGUCCACGCUGUAAACGAUGUCGAUUUGGAGGUUGUGCCCUUGAGGCGUGGCUUCCGGAGCUAACGCGUUAAAUCGACCGCCUGGGGAGUACGGCCGCAAGGUUAAAACCCAAAUGAAUUGACGGGGGCCCGCACAAGCGGUGGAGUAUGUGGUUUAAUUCGAUGCAACGCGAAGAACCUUACCUACUCUUGACAUCCAGAGAACUUUCCAGAGAUGGAUUGGUGCCUUCGGGAACUCUGAGACAGGUGCUGCAUGGCUGUCGUCAGCUCGUGUUGUGAAAUGUUGGGUUAAGUCCCGCAACGAGCGCAACCCUUAUCCUUUGUUGCCAGCGGUUCGGCCGGGAACUCAAAGGAGACUGCCAGUGAUAAACUGGAGGAAGGUGGGGAUGACGUCAAGUCAUCAUGGCCCUUACGAGUAGGGCUACACACGUGCUACAAUGGCGUAUACAAAGAGAAGCGACCUCGCGAGAGCAAGCGGACCUCAUAAAGUACGUCGUAGUCCGGAUUGGAGUCUGCAACUCGACUCCAUGAAGUCGGAAUCGCUAGUAAUCGUAGAUCAGAAUGCUACGGUGAAUACGUUCCCGGGCCUUGUACACACCGCCCGUCACACCAUGGGAGUGGGUUGCAAAAGAAGUAGGUAGCUUAACCUUCGGGAGGGCGCUUACCACUUUGUGAUUCAUGACUGGGGUGAAGUCGUAACAAGGUAGCCG
rnacentral:rRNA from 1 species